rnacentral:rRNA from 1 species
AAAAACAUGGCUCCUUGGUUUUUAUAUAUAAGGAGUCAGACCUGCCCGGUGAAUUUCUUUUAACGGCCGCGGUACCCUGACCGUGCAAAGGUAGCAUAAUCAUUUGCCCUGUAAUUGAGGGCCAGUAUGAAUGGUUUGACGUGAACAAAACUGUCUCUGCAAGAGUUUCUAGAACUUGAUUUCUAGGUGAAAAAACCUAGAUAAUAUUAAAAGACAAGAAGACCCUAUUGAGCUUUAAAAAAAUAAAUGGGAAUAUAUCUAUACUUUUUAUAACUUUUUCCAUUUUAAAUUUUGGUUGGGGCGACUACGGAACAGAUAAAGCUUCCUUUAAAUUCAAAAAUAUACAAAUAACGAUCCAAACAUUUUGAUUAGAGAGAUUAGUUACCGUAGGGAUAACAGCAUGAUUUUCUUUGAGAGCCCUAAUCGAAAAGAGAGUUUGUGACCUCGAUGUUGGACUAGAAUAUCCCAAAGAUGUAGCAGUCUUUAAAGGUUGGUCUGUUCGACCAUUAAAAUUCUACGUGAU